CCCUAUGCAGAUAAGUGUUUUUAUCUAUGAGCCGAAAAUUUUAGUUCUUAAUUGCAAGAUGUGGUCGAAUUGAUGGUCAUAAUAGAAAAGUAGGAUAACAUCCAUGGUAACCAUAUCAAAUGAAUAAGUUCUUUUAAAAUUCAGAAUGUUUUCAAAAUACCAAAUUCAUAGUAUAUUUUGAGUUGUUUGCAAACCUAGCUGUUUAAUGCAGAAAACUAAAAAUUACUUGAGCAGAUUCCAACCAUUUAAUGAGCUGCAUUCAAUUAAGUGUUGAAGGGGACUGAGGAAGGCAAUGUUAGUAAAAGGAGGUGCGUGAAUUAACCUAAAAAAGCGAGACAUCAUAAAUCAUAUGAUCCAAAAAAGUGCUAUGAGAGACAGAGUUCAAAUUUGACAAAUAAAUAAAAUUGAUUCCAAAAGAGGAACAGGAAAAUGAUUUAAAUAAAAUGAGCAAACAAACGCUUGAAGAAGAAAUUCGGAAAGAAUGAGCAAGCCGAAAAGUAGAUGUAUUUUCAACAUAAGAAGUCAUGUGAAAUCUACUCGGGAGUGUGGAUGUCCGAAUGAGACUUCGGCCGAGCCUCAACAAGAAAACACCAACAUACAAGAAAAAAGUAACGUUCAAUGUGAUGAAACAAAUUUUAUGAUGGGUAUCCCCACCCAAUUCUUAAAAAAGUUUAUCUACAGCAAAGCAAAGCAAUAAUCAAAAGCUUCAAAGAGAAAGAUACCAUUCGAUGGUAAAUUCUGACCUCUAUGCAAACAGGCGGGAAACUUUAAUACAACGCACAAACAGAGAUCAGUACAAGAGGCCAUUGGAAUGGUCCAGGGCACAAGAAGAAAGCGCUAACUUUGAAAGUACUCCAAGUCAGUGUGCAAGCAGUAUUAAAAAUGAUGUUACUUAUCAUACCAGGAAACAAAAUUGUCACCCCAAUUGUGUCGAUGCACAAUUUAGGGAAACUUAGGAGAAAUCAAUACAAUGAAUAAAGUCUGCAUUCAUAAUCAUGUGGCAAACCACAAUCAUGUAAGAAACCAUGAUCAUGAAAUAAACUAUAACCAUGACGUAAACCAUGUGGACCACUGCCAUGGAGUUACUCACUGUCAAAAUCAUGGAAAUGCAUGGAGCCAUGAUAUGAUGCAUAAUUUUUGCUCUCAUAAUUCACGACAUCACUCAAUGGAUGAUCCUUUAGCUAACAAUAUUCAUUAUCAUAAACUUCACCAUUGCGACAACCAUCAUGCAAAGAAAUCUUGUCAUCAUUUACAUGGAUUGAGCACUGAAAAUUCGUUUGGUAGAGAACAGUUAGCUCCCUCACACCAACUUGAGCUAUCCUACAUUGAACAGAUACUAAAAAAGACUGAAAAGUACAAACUUGAUGGAAUGAACAACGAUGCUCCAAGGACUUCCGAUGACAAAAAUACAAAAUCAAAGUACAAGCUUGCUCAGAGAUCAGAAUCAUUAGAUGAUGUUCCAACGACAGAAUAUCAGUCUAGUUAUGGGAAAUUUCAUGAUACCAGUAGCAUUCUUGAAGCGAGAAGAAGAAGCCUGAAGAUGGUACGUGACAGGAAUAGAGACUCAUUUUCAAAAUUCCAAAAUGAGCCAAAACCACUUUCAUCAAGAUUGAAGCGUGUAUCCUACGAAGGUGUUCCGAACACCUGGAAUCUGGAAAGUGCUUCUGCCCCAAGGGUUGCCGUCCCCUUUAAAAAAAAAAAAAAAAAAACGUAUCUGAGGAAAAACUGAGAGAGAGAACUACUCACAAAGUAGAUCACUGCCGUAUUCACAGGCAGCUAGAUGAUCGAACAUGGCUGUUAGAACAGGAAGAAUCACAUCAUUGACAUAGAAAAGUGAAGUUGAAGUUUUCAAAUGAGUUCCUCGCAGAUGACUGUAUUUCCCCUAAAACAAUGUAAAAACCAUUAAUAUACAAAUAUUUCAUCAAGUUUUUGAAAAAUUAAAUCAAAAUAGUAGAUUAAUGCCUUAAAACUGAAAAAAAAUUGCACAUCUAAAUGAAAAAGGAAGAGCAGCUGAGUAAUGGAAAAUUUUCCACCGCAAAACGAAUUUCUUAGGAAGAAAAUUUUUACCCUAACAAGAUGCUCGACAUGCAGUCUCUAUUUCUUUUGGCGGAUGACAAAACGCUGGUUUUUUUGAUACUCGCAAAUUCAUCGUAAAAUAUGCCUUAAAAUAAUCAGGUCUGA
rnacentral:lncRNA from 1 species